UACGGAGGGGGCUAGCGUUGUUCGGAAUUACUGGGCGUAAAAGCGCGCGUAGGCGGACCUGCAAGUCGGGGGGUGAAAGCCCGAGGCUCAACCUCGGAACUGCCUUCGAUACUGCGGGUCUCGAGUCCGGGAGAGGUGAGUGGAAUUCCUAGUGUAGAGGUGAAAUUCGUAGAUAUUAGGAAGAACACCAGUGGCGAAGGCGGCUCACUGGCUCGGUACUGACGCUGAGGCGGCGAAAAGCGUGGGGAGCAAACAGGG
rnacentral:rRNA from 1 species